UUGGAGGGCAAGUCUGGUGCCAGCAGCCGCGGUAAUUCCAGCUCCAAUAGCGUAUAUUAAAGUUGUUGCAGUUAAAAAGCUCGUAGUUGAACCUUAGGCCCGUGCGGGUGGUCCGUCCUCUGGGCGAGCACUGCGUCGUCGCGGGUCUCACCUUCUGGCGAGCGUGGAUGCCAUUCACUUGGUGUCCGCGGGAACCAGGACCUUUACCUUGAAAAAAUUAGAGUGCUCAAAGCGGGCUCGUACGCUUGAAUACAUUAGCAUGGAAUAAUGAAAUAGGACGACGGUUCUAUUUUGUUGGUUUCCGGGACAGUCGUAAUGAUUAAUAGGGAUAGUUGGG
rnacentral:misc_RNA from 1 species